rnacentral:rRNA from 1 species
UACGUAGGGUGCGAGCGUUAAUCGGAAUUACUGGGCGUAAAGUGUGCGCAGGCGGCCGAGCAAGUCGAGUGUGAAAGCCCCGAGCUUAACUUGGGAAUUGCGCUCGAAACUACUUGGCUGGAGUGUGGCAGAGGAAGGUGGAAUUCCAGGUGUAGCGGUGAAAUGCGUAGAGAUCUGGAGGAACACCUGAGGUGAAGACGGGUUGCUGGGCUGACACGUGACGCUGAGGCGCGAAAGCCAGGGGAGCAAACGGG